AGUGAACGCUGGCGGUUGGCCUAACACAUGCAAGUCGAACGGCAGCACAGUAAGAGCUUGCGCUUACGGGUGGCGAGUGGCGGACGGGGGAGGAAUACAUCGGAAUCUACUUUGUCGUGGGGGAUAACGUAGGGAAACUUACGCUAAUACCGCAUACGACCUACGGGGGAAAGCAGGGGAUCUUCGAACCUGGUGCGAGUGAAUGAGCCGAUGUCGGAUUAGCUAGUUAGCGGGGUAAAGGCCCACCAAGGCGACGAUCCGUAGCUGGUCCGAGGGGAUGAUUACCCACCUUGGAAGUGAGGCACGGUCCAGACUCCUGCGGGAGGCCGCGGUGGGGAAUCUUGGGCGAUGCGCGAAAGCCUAAUCCAGCCAUACCGCGUAGGUGAAGAAGGCCUUCGGGUUGUAAAGCCCUUUUGUUGGGAAAGAAAAGCAGCAGGUUAACCCCCGGCGGUAAUGACGGUACCCAAAGAAUAAGCACCGGCUAACUUCGUG
rnacentral:rRNA from 1 species